GUUACUUAGCACUUCUCUGACGCUCGUUCGAUCGUUAUCGUCGCUUGCGAACCGGCCCUGCCCCCCUCGUUGGCCCGUUAAAUUUAUUGCGGGCCCCUGCGGAAAAGAGGCUGACGGCCCAUCUGCAUUCCCCUUUCUUUCUCUUUUCCCCCUAUCCUCCUGCACUUCUUUUCUUUCAUCUCUAGUUGAAAUGUGUUAUACAUACGAUAAUUCUGGGAGAGAUGGACGACGGAAACGUUUCGAAUUUAAAUAUUUUGCGAAUAUUUUAGUAACUUAUAUAGUAAUUAUUGGCAAUCUUUUUUGACAUAUGUAAUUUGUCAUAAUGCAAUAUAUAUCUUUAGAAGCAAGUGAGAAGUAUAACAAUAAUUUUCGGUGAAUUUAGAAUCUAGAAAUUCGGGAACGACCGUUCUAAGAAUUUUAAGGUUUUUGAAUUUUUCAUUUUUGAAGACGAGAGAUUAUUGCUGGACGUCGACCGUCUGGACCAUUUACAUUUUUACAUAUUAACCAAGGUUGAUCAUAGUUCAGGAUAAAAUGUUUGUGAGGUUAAGCUAAAAUUGAGUUGAAAAAAAUAUUAUUAAAAAACCUGAUAAAUAUUCAAUCCAAGAAAUAUGAAAGACAAUCAAAGAAAAAUUAAUUGCAAUAAUAUAAUAUAACAUCAUUCAAUGUUUGAAAAUAAGGCAAAAUUGGAAAAUUUUUAUAAAAAAGAUAUAUGAUUGGCGAAACUAUCGAAAGAAAAGCAAAGACCUGUCGAGGUCCAAUUAUUCGCGAGAUUCGGUUACGAGAAGUAACGUCACGCGUCAAGUCAGGAUGAGAGAGCAGCACGAGGGGACCUAGGAGCGUCGACACCAUGGAGGAGAGGGAGGAUGUAAGGUGACACCUCUGGGACAGGUCUGGCUUCCCGUCAAGAGCCCGUCCGAGAUAAUCAUAUUCAUAAUUCGCGAGUUCGCGGAACGUGCACCCGCGUCGUGCAAGAAAAGGACAUUGUGGCGAAAGCAUUUGAAAAAAAUUAUAUGAAUAAAUAAUUGUUUCAUUGGAUGAAAUGAAAAAUUGAAAAUGAAUGAGAAUAAAACAAAUCUAUAUCACAAGACAAAUAAUCAAACAUAUGUACAAAUAAUCAAUUUCACUAAAAACUAAGAACAAAACAAAAGUUAAUCUAUUUUCUAUGGAAUAAGAACAAAGAUAUAAAUAGAGAGAAAUUAGAAAGAGACACGCGUGACCGUGAUCCUCUGUACACGCAGUUAUGGGCACGCUUAAAGGUCCCGACUGCGUGUGGGUCCGCGGAUACGAGGACGUGUGGAUGUCCAGGCGGGGCCCUGGCCCUGCUUGUAACCCGACACCAAAAGCUUUGGCUCCCCUCUCUGCGCCAACAUCCAGCGCACAGAGUGAGACACAGACAAGACCCCCGAGAACGAAAAGGACUGGUUGAUAGUCGGAAUUAAGCGAUCUGACAAAUUGCCGGGCAAAGGGUAAAGACGAUCGGCUUGAAACGCGAAUCAAGAUAACCAACACACGCGCACACCAAUCCCACCUUUGGAACUACACGACAUCAGGGUUCACCACUUCAAACCUGCCCACCUACGAUUUUCCAGAAAGAUUCCCGUUGAAUCUUGGAUAUUCUAUGAAGUCGCGGCUGGUUACAAAAAAAGAGGGUGGUCGCGAUUUAUCUCGACCUCGAGGUCCGCUCGAGCUUUGCAUCGCGGUUAAAACGUCGGGGACGGAAUUUAAAUUUCACAAAUUAGUCCGUCCAUUACACCCUCGGUGUAAUCAGGUCGGAUGAUCUCGCCCCACCAAGUUAGAGGUUUCGCUCUUCCACCUCCUUUGCCUCAUUCCUCAGCAUCCUCUCUGCCUCCGAGAGAAGCCUCGUCCACACGAGGUGGACGCAGUUCCUGGAAAGCGUGGGUGCCUCUUCCAGGCAGACAGGAUCAGGAUCUGGGCCCUCACAAAUCAUAACGCGGAUGCACUAGAGAUCCCGUAUGGAGAUCCCUUACUGCUCUUCUUCUUUCUUCUCGCGCGUGUUCUCUUAUUCCGAAUAUCUGCGCUCUCGAAAAGAAAUUUCGAAUGACGAUCAAUUGCCAAAAGAUAUUUUCUAUCGAUUUUCGAUAAAACUUUGCUCGAGUUUCUUGUUCCAGGAAGUAUUUUUAAUGGAAAUUUGUGUUCAAUUAAAAGUUGAUUAGAAGUUGAUUUUAUCGAUUUUCGAUAAAACUUUGCUUGAGAGUCUUGUUCUAGAAAAUAUCUUUUAUAAGUUUUAGUGGAAAUUUGUGUUCAAUUAGAAGUCGAUUAAUUAUUUAAUUAGUAUAGACAAUUAGUUGUUCCAAUUAAUAUCCAUAUUUUUUCUCAUUUAAAAAUAUAAAAUUAAUUGAAUAUUAAUUAAUUAAUUCCAUUGGAAUUAUAAAUCCAAUUCAAAAUUGAUAUUGUAUUUUAAAUACUGCAUAAAAGAAUUAAAAUCAUUUAAUUCUUUAAAUUCUUAAAUCUUACAUUACCCAUUUAUUUUUAUUCAAAGAAGCAUAAUUUAUCAUAGAUACAAUUUUAUUCUUCAUUUUUUUUUAAUUUUCUAAAUUUUCUUUAUUCAUUAAUUUCUUUCUAUAUUCCAAAAUAUCUAGAUUUAUUUAAAAAGAAUCAUUUUUAUGCAGUCACAGAAUCAUCAAUAUCCAAUACUUGAUCUUUGUCAGGAUUUACGCACUAGCCGUUAUCGAGCAUUCGUUGAUGAAACAAGAAGAAGAAUCAUACAUAAGGGGUGGGAGGAGUAUGUAUACGUGUAUGUAUAGGUGGAGGAAGGUUGUUCGUGAUCGUUUCUAAUGGGCAAGGAUUUUCUUACACACAAAAGCCAGUGAAGAGAGUGACUGAUCGUCGCAAGCACCGCGAAUAAAUUACGUGGCAGCCUAUGCGGCUGCAUAAAUUAAUUUCAGCCGGUCUGCCCAUAAAUAUUCCCCCCUUCGAAAUCGUUCUCCCACCUCGAAAAGCGGUGCGUUCGUCUAAGCAACACCGUGCCGAGACGAUUCUCGUCGUGUCUCGUAAUUUACACCGAUGCCCUGGUUAAAUGCCGAUCUAACGCAUCCGCCGCCUCCUGAUCCGGAUAACGUCCGUGGAAUAUCAAUGGGAUCUGAUCGACGCGUUUUCGAUUGCCACCUAGGAUGAUCCUACCGUGAUUUAUUUAUCGAGAUUUAAGAUUAGAGAUUUAAGGAACGUUCCCUGUUCUUGCUGUUUUAUAUUAUUUUAAAUUGUAAAUUUAGUUUACGAGAGUAUAUACGUACUUAAAUGUUUCAUGAGGAGAAGAUUUCUGACUUGCUUUUUGCUGUAAAUUAUUAGAAAAAUUGCAAAUUAAUAGAUGCAUGUAAUUAUUUUAUAAGUGACCAAGUUUUGGAUUAACAAAAUUAAGGAUAUUUGUUGUGUAGCAUUGAUAGUCUGAUAAGAAUAUAGAUUAAAAUGAAAUGAUUAAAAUUUUUUCAAACGACAUCUAUCAAUUUUUAUUUUAAUUCAUUUUUUUUCUCUUUUGUUUUAUAAUUAUUUAUAAGUAUAGUAUAGAAUCUUUUCAAAUUCUACGCACUUAAAUAUUCCGAUUUAUAACUUAAAAGGGAUAACGUUGCAAAUUCAUGAUAUUUUCAUCGAUUUGAACGAACAUUAGAGGCGAUCUCCUGUCAAUGUGUAAUUUCGAGGAGCACCACGAACAGGCAUCGUUAAUUUCCGCAUAACGAUUCGCAGGGUGGCGCAACGUUCACAAGCUAUUGUUAGCGG